rnacentral:lncRNA from 10 species
GUUUCCUGUGCUAUUCUUGUGAUUGACAGUGAAUGAGUCUCACAAGAUCUGACGGUUUUUAAAAACGGGAGUUUCCCUGCACAAAUUUGCUUGCUGGCAACCAUGUGAGAUGGGACUUUCUCCUCCUUGACUUUCGCCAUGAUUGUGAGGCCUUCCCAGCCAUGUGGAACUCUUCUUUCGUGGCAAUUUUCCCCCAGGAGGGAUUUCCCUGCAGUGGACCUCCUCCCCAGUGGUACCUUCAGCCAUCAGAACACCUCGCUUUAGAUCUGUGGGUCCCAAAUUUCAUCAAAUCCAAUGACCAUUUCUAUGAUCACUCAUUCUGGGGGCAGCCCUCUGGCAUGUAAUGAGCAGUCCUAUGGAGAGGCCCAUGUGACAGUAGCCAUGCGAGUGACACUGGAAGUGAAACCUGCAGCUCCAGUCAAGCCUUUAGAAGACUGCAGCCCUGGCUGACAGCUUGACAGCAAACUCAUGAGAGACUCUCAGCUUGAACAACUCAGCUAAACUGUUCCUGGGUUCCUGGUCCUCAAAAACUGUACGAGAUGAAAAAAAAGUUUGUUUUUUUAAGCUGCCAAGUUUUGGGAUAAUUUGUUAUUCUAAUAUAUUUUUUAAUACCUGGAAGUAAGGUGCUACCAUAAUAAAUACCUAAAAUGUAGGCACAGCUAGGAAACUAGACAGUGGAGGUAGCUGGAAAGAAUUUAAGAAGCAUAGCAGUGAAAGUCUCAGGAGCCUUGAACAAAACAUUAGAAAAACUUUGGACUUUGACCAGGCUGCUGGUGGAGGUUUAAAAGAAAGUGAGAAAAAUCUUGUUGAAAACAGAACAGGGAAUCCUUACUAUGGAGUGGCAUAAAUCUUAGCAAUAUUGUUGUCUGCAAUAAUGUGGGUGGUGGGAAUGUACCUGGUAAACUGGGUGAUCUAAUUUGCUAUUCAUAAAGACAUAAAGAUUCUCAGCUUUUACAGAUGGUGAAAAAUGCUAAAUUAAGAAAUGGCUGAAGGACAGAGGUCAAAUCCUGGGCACCAUCAUGAAAACAUAAUCCAAAGAUGAAGCUGAGAUGUGACUAUAAAUCCUUUGUUAUGACCUCAGAAAGAUCAAAAGUGGUGCCUCAGAGUACCAGUUUGGUCACACAAAGGCCCUCUAAAGUUUUUAAGGCUGUGACUCACAGAUUCUUUCAAAAACAGGGCUCCUGAGAAGCUUAAGAGCAUAGUUUUUCAGCAGAAUCACAAGGUGGGAAAGGGAUUAUCUCAAAAAGAUUUUUGGGCGUGACUUUUGUCUAAUGGAAUGGACCCCCAAAAAUUCAUAGGUGAUUCACAAAUUUUUUAAAAGAAUUAUAUUAGUAGAAACAUUGCCAACUAGAACUCAAAGGGAUAGAGACAGUAUGAAAUGAAAAAAGGCCUUGGUACUCACUUUGCCCCUGUUUCACUGCAGGUUAAGAAAAAAUUUCAGCUGCAUACAUGUACUAACUUUCAUGAAAAAGAAAGAAUAGCUAAGCAUGGUGACUCACUCCUGUAACCCCAGCACUUUGGGAGGACAAGGUGGGAAGACCACUUGAGCCCAGGAGUUUGAAUCAGCCUGGGCAACAUAGCAAGACUCUGUCUCUUUUUAAAAAAGGAUGACUCUGAAGGGGAAGCUAAAAGCCUCAGAGAAUAACUCAUGCGUAGAAAUAGGACUAAAUCCUAAGGCGAUUCCAACAUUUGCCUGGCUGGAUUUCAGAGCUGCUAUGGGGACAUAGUAGUGUGUCCAGUACCUUUCCUUUUUGAAUAUUAAUGCAUAUAGUGUUUAUUCCUGUUCCACCAUUGUGUGUUUGGGGUGUGUGUGUGUGUGUGUGUGUGUCUAUGUGUGUGCGUGUUAGUUUCAGAUUGAGAGGAAUUAUACCCAAGGAGCUAGAGUUAAGAAAUUAUACCUAAGGAACCUCUUGUGUACCUGGUCCUGAUUUAAAUGACAAGACUCUAGACUUUGAGUUGAUGCUGUAAUGAGACAAGAAUUUUAGAAAUGUUGAGAUGGAGUGGACGUGUUUUGCAUGUUGGAGGGACUUGAUUCACUGGAGCCUAGAAGGCAGACUAUGGUAGCCAGCCCUCAAGAUUGUCUCCUCCUGGUAUUCAUACCCUUGUAUAAUUCCCCUCCCACAUUGUACCAGAAUUUAUCUGUGUGACAGAAUAUGGCAGAAGUAAUGAUAUGUCACUUCUGAGAUUAGGUUAUAAAAGACAUUGUGGCUACCAUCUCUCAUCACUCACUCAAAGGGAAGCCAACCACCAUGCAAUGAGAAUCUCAGGUAAUGAGGACCUGAGACCUGUUGUCAAUCACGUGAAUAAGCUUGGGAGGAGAUUCUCCAGCCCCAGUCAAGCCUCAGAAGACUUCAGCCCUAGGUGACAGCUUGAUGAUAAUCUCGGGAGGCAGAACCACCCAACUAAGCCACUCCUGGAUUCCUGACCCUGACCCUGACCCUAGAAACAGUGUGAGCUGGAAUUCUGUGAAGCACAUGACCUCAAGUCUUUGGAUAAAUGGAAACGCAGCUUAUGCCGGAAAGAUGGAAGGCUGGCUGUACUAAUAUCAGAAAUGGAAGAGGAGAGACAUCACUAGAGAUCCCAUGGAUAUUGAAAGGAUAAUAAAGGAGUAUUAUGAGCAUUGUUAUAUUUUAUGUCUCCUAUAAGCUGUAAAUUCCUACAUAGCAAGAAUUCUGUCUUACUCAUCCUUUAACAACUACUGUGUACCUUAUAAUGUUUCAUAAAAUAUUAUGAUUUGGUUUUAUUAUUCACAAAAGAAUGCUAUAAGAGGUGAAAAAUGGAGAGGCUAGAAAGCAUAAAAACAAGUUACAUCAGGUGGUAGAGCCUGGUUUAAGGGUCAAAGAUAAAAGAAGGGAAGGUUAAGGGCAGGGCUUUAGAGGGAGAGAGGAUAAACACAGUUUGAUUAAAUGGCUGAUUCAGCCGGGUGUGGCGGCUCAUGCGUAUAAUCCCAACACUUUGAAAGGCUGAGGCAGGAGGAUUGCUUGAGCCUAGGAGUUCAAGACCAGCCUGGGCAACAUGGAGAAAUCCUAUCUCUACCAAAAUACAAAUACAAAAACAAAAAUUAGCCAGGUGUGGUUAUAUACACCUGUAGUCCCAGCUGCUUGGGAGGCAGAGGUGGGAGGAUUGGUUAGGUCUAGGAAGUUGAGGCUGCAGUGACCUAUGAUUGCUCCACUGCACUCUAGCCUUGGUGACACAGAGAGAUCCUGUCUCAAAACAAAAACAAACAACAACAACAAAAAACAUAUAUAUAUAUAUAUGAGGUUUAUCCACAGUAAAGUUCAGUCUAGGGUUAAUAAAAGAUUCUAGGGUUCACUAAGACAAAGAGUAGUCGCAGUAGCAGAGCCUUGGGUGAAGCUAAGGUCCCCAGGAGAUCUGGGAUGUCUGUGAGGAACAGUGAGGCUUAGUCAUUCAGACAAGCCAGCAGAAGUGAAGUUUAGAGAAUGUGGAUGGGCCUCAGGCUCUAGACAUCAAAACAAACAGAUAGAAAAGGCAGAGUGUAGAAUCCAGACAGUGAGGCUCACAACAAGGUAUGCAAUUCUGCAUAAGCAGAUUUGAGGGGACACCAACUAUGGACUGAUGUAGAUAAAUAUUUCUGGUAAUUCCAGUUAGUGAUUCACUCUGAACUCACAUAGGAUAGUAUCUCUUCAAAGGCACUUGUGUUGUAAUUAAAUGCACACAUAAGACAUAAUGCUUAUUGAGCCCUUAGCAUGUACCACCCACUCUUAUGCAUACUAUAUGUUUAAACCAUUUAAACUCACACCAACCCCCUGGGGGUAGGUAGUAUUAUUAUCCCUGUUACAGAUAAGGAAAGUGAGAAGUAGGAGUUAAUUGGUCUCAUGAUCCCCUACAGGCUGGCCUUCCAGAAAAAGGAGGUAACUUGCCCCAGGAUACCCUGGAAACCAAUCAGAAUGAAUUGCCUUAAACUCUGGCUUGUAGCCCAAAGCAAGGCUUGCCCACAAGUCUUGCCAGUAUGUGGUUGAACAGAAAUUAGAAUCCAGACAGCCUGAGUCCUUUUCUUGCCAGGCAGGGGCUGGGGCUUCCCCAACCAUGAAAGUUCAGGUGGUAGAUCCUGCCACUGCUUUGCACACCAGCUCCCUGGUGCUAACCUCAACUGCCAGUGCUGAGCUGGAAGGAUAGGGCUGGAGGCAAACUCCUACCCCAUCAUGUUGCUGGUGUAUUCCAUCCUGGUAUUGGUCACACCAAGGAAGGGCCUGGACUUUCCUAAUCAUGCAGCUUAAAAGCAACACAAGGCAAGGCGGGGAGUCCGCUCUCCUGAAGUCUGACAUCCAGGAAGACCAGAUUGCUAUGUGCUGUCUUUGACUUACUUGGAGACUCACACACCUACACUAGUGCCCCCUUAUCUGAGGGGGAUGCAUUCCAAGACCCCCAGUGGAUGCUUGAAACCAUAAAUAAUACCAAACCCUACAUAUACUAUGUUUUUUCAUAUAUAUACCUAUGAUAAAAUUUAAUUUAUAUAAUAGAUUAGGCAGAGACUAAUAACAAUAACUAAUAAUAAAAUAGAAGAAUUAUAACAACAUACUAUAAUAAAAGUUAACGUGAACAUUGUUUGUCUCAAAAUAUCUUAUUGUAUGUAAUAUUUUUGGACUGUGGUUGUUCAUAGCAAGUGAAAACUCAGAUGGGGGAGGGUGGCAUACUGUAUUUAUUUUCCUGUAUCCAUUAGUGUUUCCCAGUGAACACUGCACCAGGAGGUUGGCCAUUUGUCUUUAUUUAUACAUCAAACUAAGGCAUGGAGAAUAAGAGCUUGGUAAGGUCAUAUAGCCAGGAGGUGGUUGAACUGAGAUUCAAACUGAGACAGUCUGAGUCCAAAUUCUACCACCUCUUGUGUGUGACAUUUAAUGGAUAGGUGGGCUUUUGUAACCAGUGUCUCUGCCUUUCUCCAUGAUUCACAGCACAGAAACUUGUGCAUACAUUCUCACUUGAUAUCUGAAUGACUGUAACAGUGAUGUAAAUUAACAAGGAAGGGAGAUAGCCCUGAUUUAAUUGGAAAUCACUGACAGAGCUCGCCCAGUAAACUCUCUACAAACAGAAUACAAAUGUUUUGUAUUUAAUUGCUAAAGUGUUUUAAAAUUGAACUCAAAUUAAUAAAUACUUAUUGUAUCUGUCAGUUAAACGAAACAACCAAUAAACAACCAACUCUGUUUUCUAAUCAAGAGGGACUGAUCCUUUAAAAAAAAUAGGGUUUAAAAAAGAUGAUAUGAUCAAUGUAAAAUUGGAUUAUAGACUUUUAGAGUCUUAAAAGAUGAGAAAAGAGAUAAAGAUGAAUAGAUAUGGAGUAACUAGGAUAAGACUCUCUCACAAACUGGACCUUAAACAGAUUUAGGAAGAAAUAUAGGAUUAGGAUAGAGAAAAAGAAGAGAAAGAAUUGCCUAUAGGCAUAAUAAAAAGCACAAGUGUAUCAAUCAACACAGGGUAUUGUGGACCAGUGAGGAAGGAUCAUGAUCUAGACUAGGGGAUUCAUGUUGGAAACAGUGAGACAAGUUAGAAAGGAUAGGAUGGGACAUAUUAUAUGGUUCCAAACAUAAUAAAUGAGCACUUGAGCUAGAAAGUAGUAUAAUGUUCACAGGUGGUAAAGAGGUAUAAUGAAAAAACUAUACUUCACAAAAAUUAGUGGUGUUCAGUGGGUUGGAGAGAAGACCAAUUAGAAGGUUAUCUGUGGAAUUACAACAACCCAGUGAAUUGAGCUGAUGGAGAGAGAUGCUCCUCCCACUACCAACACUCAAACAUAAGGCAAAAAUAUUUAUAGGUGAUGAGUAAUGAUGAAAAAACAAAAGAACAAAUGAUAGAUGACAUGAAGAAUGGGAGUAGGGAAGACCAUAUUUAAGACUCUGAGGUCAUUAAAUGAUGUAACAUGUUUACUAGCCCAAAAAUAUAUACUAAAAGAGUAGAAAGAAAACAAAAAAUUUCCAAAUCAGUAGCAAGGAUCAAGAAAACAAUCCAAAUGGAAGGAAAGAACAAUGUCCCUUGGAACAUAACAAUAGAACAUAAUAUGAACAGUACCUCCUUCUAUGUAGUGUAGAUAUUAAACAUAGGGUGGGAAGUACACAUAUCAAUUUCAAAAUAGUGGUUUAAUCUGAAAUUGUUAAACAGAGAGGGAGGGAAGCAAUAGAACUGAGAGAGCGUUCAAAAGCCUUUUGUUGUAUCUGUAGAGUCUUUUAUUUCUUAAAAAUACAAUCGUAUACCACAUGAUAACAUUUUGGCCAAUGGACUACACAUAUGACAUGGUCCCAUAAGAUUAUAGUACUGUCUUUUUACUGUACCUUUUCUAUGUUUAGAUAUAUUUACAUAUACAAAUACCACUGUUAAAUUGCCUACAGUAUUCAGCACAGUAACAUGCUGUGCAGGAUUGUAGCCUAGGAGCAAUGGGCUACACCAUGUGGCCUAGGUGUGUCGUAGGCUCUACUAUUUUGGUUUGUAUAAGUACACUCUAUGAUGUUCACACAAUGAUGAAAUCACCUAACGAUGCAUUUCUCAGAAUAAGUUUCUGUUGUUAAGCAACCCAUGAUUGUAUCUGAAGCAAAUAUCUAUA